CGUGACGCCGCAGCUAAAGGCGCAAAUUACAACCGCGGGACAUGUGUUUUAUUUGUGCGUGCGCUUAGCCUCGCUUCAGGCAGAAUUUCCUGCAGGGGCAAUAAAAGUCGACUGAAAUGAACUUUUAAAAAAUAAAUAAAUAGAAUACAGCAGCUAAAAUCAUUACACGACGGAGAGAGAGGCUGAUUACAGAGGGAGAGAGCAUAAGAAUGACAGUGGUUGAAAACCCUGGCACGGGGAACCGGUGGGAACGUAAACAGUCAUCGGCAGGUCCCGACACGCGGCCGCUUCAGCCAGGAGACGGGUGUUUAGGUUUCAGUUUUCAAGUCUGGAGCUAAAAAAAAGAAGGUUGGGCUCCCCCGUCAAGCUGAGGGGACCAACCCAAAGAGCUUUCACACAGAAUCCCACUCGUGCCUCUAGAUCAGCGCCAUCUUUAAAAGACUGACUUAUUAACGUUUUCAGUCAUUCACAAGCUUACAUUGACUGUCAAUGAAAAAGGGCACGAAAGCUCGUUUACAAGAUCCACGUUUACAUCUCGCUGCCAUCUGAAUGACUUGAGGACCGAAAAUGUUAUUUUUUUUACAUCAGGACUUUUCUAUUUUUACCUAAAUGAAGAUGGUAAUACUCUUCUUUUCUUUACCCCUUUGAGUCCAUCAAAGGUCCCCUCCAGACAUGUUUUAAGACAUAAAAAUAAUCUGCUUUUAAUUGUGACUUGUGGCAUAAAAAUUUCGAUGACCCCAUUAAAAAUUCUUAUACUUACA